GCACCGCGGCGUCGCGGAGGGACGAGGGGGGAAGCCCCAAGCUCCCCCACCACCACCACACCCCAGACACGGACCUCCCCCUCGACGGCCCGGGGCACCGAGCAGUCACGUCGGGACCGGCCGACACGCGCGCGCCCUCGCUCGAGCGGACAGGAGAGGGGUGGCAACGAGGGCCAAGGCCCAAGGCCCCUCCCCCCCACCCACCCAGGAGCGGCACGGCUAUGACGGCCGGCCCGCAGCGGCUAGCCGGGUCCCGACUCGCGCUCAGGUGAGCUCAGCAGAGCCGGGAGGGAGGGGCACGCGGCAGGGGGUGGGGGGUGGCAGAAGGCCACCCCUCGACCACACGCAACGACACCGGCGGACAGGCGGGGCAAGGAAGCGGCGGCGGGCACGGAGCGGGGCCGCAGCGGGCCCAGGAAAGCGAGACGCACCAGGACGCCGGUCCGGGGGUCGGCAGAUGGGGACCAGACAGACGGGAGGUCAGACAGACGAGCGGGAGCGAGGAGGGCGAACGUGGGAGCGGCCGGCAUCGAGAGAGAUGCCACAAAGGGACGGUGGCGGAGGGGGCGGCCGCAGGCCUCCAACGAGGUGGGGGGGGGCCACGGGGACCAUCCCCAAAAACCAGAUGCGAGUCGGCUGCCAGGGCACGACACGGGGUCUCACCGCCAGAGGCCUCCAGCACAACGGCGGUCCCGCCGCAACACCCAGGACGCCGACUGGCCUCCCCCUCAACCCCUGGGGGCCCCCCCCUCGCGGGGGCCCCACGACCGCCACCGACGACACCGACGAGCCACAGCCGGCCCCGUGGAAACAAGUCUCCCAAGGCACCUACCGACGACCACCCCCCACACCCCACACGCACCCGCCAUGCCCAACCCUCUUCCCCCACCCCCCCGCGCACAGGGGGACACCCGAGAAGCACAUCACCCAGGGACACCCGCCCGGCCACGGCGGCCAGGGGGUGACACCCACACGAGGUGAGGCCAUUUCAGGUCCCCGGUUGACACGGGGGCGGGAGGGAGAGAGACAUGGCACAGGCAAGGCAGGGCGGUCACCUGUUCGGGGCAGGGGGAGGGCCGGCAGCACCGGGGAAGGGCGGCAAUGCACACGGGGCAAGGGCUGUGAGGCAGGGACGCGGGUGCCUGCCCAGGGAGAGGAGAAAGGACCCAGGCACGCCAGGCAAACCAGCACGGGGUCACACCACCACACACACGAGGGCAGUCCCAUGACACCUGGGACACCAGGCGGCCUCAGUCGCCCCAGAGCACUCCACGACCCGGCCCCACCACCAGGGACCCAUGUGCAAAGGCUUCCCCCCCCCUGCCACGUGGGGGGGGGGGCUCGUCCGCCUCAUCUCACCCAUCCGUCCAUCUUUCCACCCUCAUCUCAUCCGUCCUUCACCUAGUCCACCCUCCAGGGCCUGACGCCUGGGGGAAACGCUCCUGAGCGAGGCGGCCCGAACCAUGCUCGCUCACCACCUCCACACCACCAGCUGCGACCCCAGGCGAGUGCGGGAAGAACCGACAGGCGGCUCGCAGCGGGGGAGGCAGGGGCAGAGGCCGCCGGGGGACGGGGCGCAUCCCCCUCCUCCACUUCCCCUUCCAAGGGGAGGGGCACCACGUGCCCACGCAGCACACAGCCCGGCGCUGGAUGCCAAAACCCGGCCCGGCCCGGCGUGACCCUCCCCCAACUCGGAGGGGGGAGGUACAGGCCGCAUUAGGCAAAAGAGCAGCGCUUGGCCCCCACCGCGGGGGCCAGCGCACCCCUCGCGCGAGGGCGGCUCUUGCCCACACGCUGUGGCAAGUAGCACCGGCAGCUACUGCCUUGCACACUUCAGAGGGGCGGCGGCUGGGGGGUCCAGGUACCCCAAGGCCCCCCUCUCAGAUCGCUAGAGAAGGCUUUCUCACCGAGGGCGCGUCGUGCCCCCCACACCAUCGCUCGCCCCUUCGGGGACCCACGGGAGUGGGAACACUCCCAAAAAGUGGGAAGUCAGAAGGGGGGGGGUCUGCGGUAUGGGUAAAGCACACAGCCCAUGUGAGCGUCCACGGUCAGAGCCGGGAGGGCAAGAGUCUGUGCUGCCACCAGGCUUGCCUUUCAGACUUCUCCACGUGGGUGGAGGGGUGCCACGUCCGGAAAGCCAGACGGGGACCCCCCCUUCACAUCUCCCGGCCCACCGCGGUCGCUCUCACGACCACAUGCAGCCUUCCCGGUCAAGGGAGAAGCAUGGGGCGUGCCGCUCAAGGGCCAAGGGCUGCCCUCACUGGCACACAGUGAGGGAGACCCAUGACAAGGGGUCCACCUGAGCCCCUCCCGGGGAGGGGACACAAGCUUCCCCUGCCUUACCGUCUCGACCCCCUCCCCUGAGCUUUAGGAAGCUGCUCGUGGGGCACGCCACCACCACAGUGGGGACCCGAGGGGACUCACCGCUGGGAGAGGAAAACGACACCACCGCUCGGCCUCGGGCAUCUGACAGGCAACCCGGAGUACUCCAGGGGCACCACAGAGGACCAGGGGAGGCACGCUCACGCACCCGCAGGGAUGCGAAGCAUGGCAGCGAGGGAGGCCUCCCCCCCACUUUGGGGAGGGACCGCUCGCAAGGCACACGCCAAGGCGGCAAAGCGAGAAUGCCUGCUGCGUCCCAAAGGACCCAGGCCCCCCCCCCUGACUGACACCCGAAGGCAGCAGGGCGGGAGACCAGAGGUCAGGCUGGAGGCCGCACCCCUGCCUUCCCCCACACCACCCGCAGGUGGGGGAGGAGCAGCGAGGGGCCCGCGACAGAAUGAGAGGCGCGGCCCAGCUCACCAUGAGCGGCCGUCCCUCAUCUGGCGCGGCUUAAGCCCAAGCCCAGGAGAGCGCCACAUCACCACAUCGAUCAGUCCUGGCAGAGCCAGGGAAGAGCCCAGAAGAGGGGAGGGAGGGCCAGCAAAGACAAUCACCACGGGGGCCUGCUUCAGCUUCACCGGCACCCCCUCCUCCUCCUCC
rnacentral:lncRNA from 1 species